rnacentral:rRNA from 1 species
UACGUAGGGGGCAAGCGUUGUCCGGAAUCAUUGGGCGUAAAGCGCGUGUAGGCGGCCACGUAAGUCCGCUCUGAAAGCCCGGGGCUCAACCCCGGGAGGCGGGUGGAUACUGCGUGGCUCGAGUCCGGAAGAGGCGAGUGGAAUCCCGGUGUAGCGGUGAAAUGCGCAGAUAUCGGGAGGAACACCAAUGGCGAAGGCAGCUCGCUGGGACGUGACUGACGCUGAGACGCGAAAGCGUGGG